rfam:Echinostoma caproni strain Egypt genome assembly, scaffold: ECPE_scaffold0032854
GCACUGCUGAUGAGACCCAAGCAGGUCGAAACAGCUGUCCAGUGC